UCCGUAGGUGAACCUGCGGAAGGAUCAUUAACGAAAUUAUUAUAUCUCGUUUUGUGAAUUUGUUAUUCUCUUCGGAGGAAAACGAAACAUUGCUUUGGUGGACUUCGGUUCACCAAAAAACAAACUUUAUAACCAUUUUAUCUAAAAACUAAAAGUAUUGAAAAUAAAUCAAAACUUUCAGCAACGGAUCUCUUGGUUCUCGCAUCGAUGAAGAACGCAGCGAAAUGCGAUACGUAAUGUGAAUUGCAGAAUUUUGUGAAUCAUCGAAUCUUUGAACGCACAUUGCGCCUUUUGGUAUUCCAGAAGGCAUGCCUGUUUGAGCGUCAUUUCUCUCUCACUAACGUGGUUUUGUUGUAAUUUGCCUUUUUGGUAAUGCAAUGAAAGGAAAUGGCAGUGCUCAUGAGUAGCUCAAGUGUUUUUAGGUUGUACCAACUAACACAUAAACUAUUCAAUACGAGUCGGCUUGAUAACUCUUCAACGUGACCUCAAAUCAGGUAAGACUACCCGCUGAACUUAAGCAUAUCAAUAAGCGGAG
rnacentral:rRNA from 1 species